AGUGGGUCACCCCAGAAUCACAGGUGUCAGGGGGCGUCCCGCGGCGCCGACGCGCGGGUCGGCUUUGGUCAGAGCCGCUGUGAACGCUGAAGGGCCACGAAAUGAAGCGAGAGGAGGCUGCUGCCGGGUGUCGGGGCCCUUCGAGGAGGUGGAAACGCUCCAAGUGCGCCACGGUGGUAGCUGGACGCCUCAACUCGGUUUUUAGUUGUUACUAUUAUUGUUCUGAGGAUUGAACGCAGGAUGGCUGAGCCACAGCCCCGUUCCUUUUUAUUUUUUAUUUUGAGGCAGGGCCUCCCUAAGGUGCCACCUUGCGAUCCUCUUGCCUCAGCCUCCAGAGCUUCUGGGGUUACAGGUGUGCACCUGGGCUCCGGGUUGACACCCGCCCACUUGAAAGUGAAACGGAGCUCCCUUUUGAAGAGAGUGGGGUGGGGCUCACCUGAUCCCCAGGCCCUCAACCGAGGAGGGGGCAUAAAGAAGCUAGCAGCUCAGGCUCGGUGGGGCGGCUGGGGGGUCCUGUUUCAACAGGAGACAUGGCAAGAUUGUUGAUAAUGCAGCAUCAGGAAUCUGACGAUGCAGAUGAAGAUGUGCAAGAGAUUGGGGCCUCUUGCUAAGAAUUUCGUCGCAUUUAUUUAUUUAUUUUCUGUGCUGGGGAUGGAACCCUGACCCUCCUCCUUAAGCAAAGGCAUUGAGCCACAUCCCGGGCCCUCCUACGAAAAUUGGAUCCUUUCCUCAGUGGUUAAAAGUAAGAGGUGAUCUGGAAGGUAUUCCCAGGAAGAUAGGAUUCAGAAAGAAAAGGUGUUAAGUCCAAGAAGGGCGAUUCCGAGGGCAGUGACGAUGUAAAGAAGAUGAGAAAAAUAUGCAAAAGCUUCUAACAGAUGCUCAGGGACAGGAGGGUGGCACCCACCAGGAAAGCACUUCCCAAUGGGAGACAUCAAGGAAAGCAACCGUGGCAGUUCCAAAAAGGAAAAUGGUCAAGAAGUCCAAACUCUAGAGGAGAGAAACCCCACCAAGCCCAGGGGAAGGGGAAGGGAAGUGGGUCACCCCAGAAUCAAAAGAAAAGACUCCUUAUCCCAAAGAAGAUACCUGCAAGUGCCCCUCCCCCUCAAACCUGGGGAGGGUUGAAAGCAAUGGUGAAUUUGUUAGCAGAGGGUCAGACUGAGAAGGCAGGGUGCAGGCUUCUCGCCUCCAGCAGCCAGGGGAAGGCAGGAGGCAGACCGUCUCCCCAUUCUGUACCCUGAGCCCUAAAAUAAAAUUAAUUUUCAGAAAUAUGUUCCAAAAGCUAACUUUCACCAGAAAAUGCUGUUGAAAUUUACUUCAUUAUAAUAUCAAAAUUUGGGGGGCCAUGGGGAUGGGAAGGAUGGUAAAAUGAGACAGACAUUAUUAACCUAUAUACAU
rnacentral:lncRNA from 1 species